GCUACCUGAAAUACGAGGAAAUAAGAACCCAGGACUCCGCAUCCCCAAACUUCUGCACAACAAGCCCAGCGCUUCCAGGGUUCGCAUACCCCGCCUCCUUCUGCCGCUCGUAGCUCACCAUUCGCAGUCGCUGGCUCUCCCGCGGCGUCAGUUGCAAGUAUAUCUCCACACCCACGAUAUGCAUAAACAUCGCAAGCCACAGCGCCAACCCGAAGGACAUGCUAAGAUUUGCACCGAUCUGCGCGGGCUCAACGCCGUUAUCAUCCGCCUUGACGAUAGCGACCGGAUCGUAGCCAGGCGGCAGCGAUGAGCCAUUGGACGGCGGUGCACACAUGGGGUACGCCACUAGAUAGGAGACCGGGAUCUUGUAGAACUUCCAAGUGAAAUCGAUCUUCUCGCACGACCAGACGGCGUAGUACGUGCCCAGCUUGUUGAUGAUUCUGGAGGUGAUUUCCUGCAAAGGGCGGACGGUCACGAUACUCCCCAUGUAGAACAUGGCGCGCAGCAUCCAGGCACGGUGCUGUUCGAUCUGCAGACAGCGGAUGUUGUAGUAGGCCAUGCCGACGCUGGCGGUGCUGAUGAGCACGAGCAGGCCGAUGGCUAGUUGCACAUCGUGCCCGCCGCCGAAAGCGUGGCGGGCGAUCAUCAAGGCGCCAGCGUUGGAGAUGAGGAAUAGAGUGAUGAUGAUAUAUCCGUUGAUGCGGUGGAAGAGGAUCGCUCGGUGUCGGAUUGAGGGGAUGAAUUGGAAGAUCAAGAGGAUUGCACAGGGAAGGAUGGUGCCCAGAUGAAGGGUGAUGCCGACCUUUCUGAAGCCAGUGUGUUGGUGGAACCAUUCACCAGGAGCGGUGCCGCUGGCAUAACGUCCGGUGAUGUCGAGGUAUUGCAGGCGUGCGAGGGUGAAGCCGAAUAGGCCUCCGGCAAAGAUGAAGAAAAGGAUAAAGUUGUACGACUUUUUGAAGCCCGUAAUCCCGAGGAUUGAUUCCCAGAUAGUCAUAGUUGAAGACAGGAGGAGGGUGUUUAAGAAGUAAUCUUGGAGGGAAUUAUCGAGUGGCCUAUUCGAACAAUUAUGUUCACAUGGGUUUAAAACUCGUCCCAAGAACCCAUUGAUGAUAGAUCUCGUCGAUCUAUAUAUAUAUGACAGCAGCCAAAGUGCUCCUGGAAGGGAGGAUAUGAUAUCGCAUCCCCAUGAGACGCGCAUACUGUGCCGUUCCCCGUCACCACCCCCUGCAUGGCUCAAGAAUACACAAUGCCAAUCCAUCACGGUAGCAUUUUAGUGUGCCUUGCGAAGAGUCAAGUUGUGGCCUCACCCGCCAACACAAGUAAGAAGACGUCGUAACUAGAAUGUUAUACGAAAAUUGCUUAACUGCGGACGUCAGCAGUCUGCCUUUUGGUUUGGAAGGGCUUUCAAAGCCUUUUCAUCCAUAAACGGACAAAAGAAUCGUCAAUCAAAACCAAAAAAAAAAAGAAGAAAAAUAUCAUCAGCAGUAGAAUACCCAUGAUUGCUCAAUCGCGGUCGCCCGGCUAUGAAUUCUCUCAGUCAAGAGUUUAUUUUGUCCAAUGAACUUAGAAAGAAACGAGCCUUCCUCAGCCUCUGAAUACGAGAACAUCCACCUGUUCAAGGUUGGAGUUCACAUAGGGGAGAGGAAUCGUCACGGCGUUCAUUACGCGUCUUCGAUCUAAGAUAGAUAACUCUCCAUUAGGUGUACAAUC
rnacentral:sRNA from 2 species